CUUUAUCUUCCUGGCCCUACAUGAACUUUGGUUGUCACAGAACAAAAGAGAGUCAUAAGUCAAGGCAUUUUCCAAGUACAUUGGUAGGGACAUCAGGUAGGCAUGUCAUAGCAAAGUGGAGAAAUCUUUGCUUCAGGGUUAUAUCUGAUGACAUCUUAGCUUUUAGUUGGUGAAAGCUACUUAUGUGUUAAGUGAAUACAUUCAAAAGCUUUGACUUGAGUCAAAAGGGUGUUAGGUCAGAUGCAGAGGUUGGUGCCCGGGGUAACUUGGCUCUGGAUUUCAAGUUUCUGUAAAAUGAUGUGGAAUAGUAAACAUAACUGUGCUCCUCUCACCCCCUGGAACUUCAGAACACAAGAGUAAACACUAAGCACCUGACAUGCCCAAAGAGCUCCAGGGUGAGGAUGUCCUGAUCUAACACCUGUAAGGUGAUCCUUGACUUCGUACUAAGUAUCGGGUCUCUUGUAAUCUAUUUCAGCACAGACCCCGUUGGACAGUGUUGUUCGUAUGAAGACAAAAUCGUUCCUAUUGAUUUGAGUUUCAAUGUUUUCUUUAGUUUCUAUUUUGGGUUGAGGUUUUGGGCGGCUGAUGACAUGACAAGAUCAAAUUCUGGUUGGAGAUGAAUUCAACUGUAGACAUCUUCACCAUCCCACCAACCUUUAUAUCAUAUUAUUUGAGGAGUAAUUGGCUAAGUUUAAGGUUUCUAAGAGCUCUGCGGUUGCUAGAACUCCCCCAAAUCUUACACAUUCUAAAAGUCCUGAAGACCAGUAAUUCAGUGAAGCUUUCCAAGUUGUUAUCAAUACUUUUGAGCACCUGGUUCACAGCCGCAGGAUUCCUUCACCUGAUGACCCUGGUUCAGUUCCCAGCAACACAUGGCAGCU